rnacentral:lncRNA from 1 species
UUUCAAAGUCUAAUUUCCAAGACCUCAAUCUAUUUAAAAUUCAAUAACCUUUAAUUCAACCAUUUGAUCAAGCUCAAACUUACAACAUAAACUUUAAAAAACUAUUCACAUAAGACCUCAAAAUUUAAACAAUAGAUCAACUAUCAAACUUAUGAAAUUUUUAAAAAUAUGAUAUCCUUUUUAUUUUACAAAUUUCAGAAUCAUCCAAAAUAACUAUGAAUUUGUAAAGCUCUUAGAAAUUCAUCACACACUCAAACCAUUCAAAAUUAAUGCCUUAAAAAAUCCUAUCAAGUUUGUU